AUACGUAGGGGGCGAGCGUUGUCCGGAAUGAUUGGGCGUAAAGGGCGCGUAGGCGGCCCGGUAAGUCUGGAGUGAAAGUCCUGUUUUUAAGAUGGGAAUUGCUUUGGAUACUGUCGGGCUUGAGUGCAGGAGAGGUAAGUGGAAUUCCCAGUGUAGCGGUGAAAUGCGUAGAGAUUGGGAGGAACACCAGUGGCGAAGGCGACUUACUGGACUGUAACUGACGCUGAGGCGCGAAAGUGUGGGGAGCAAACAGGAUUAGAUACCCUGGUAGUCCACACUGUAAACGAUGAAUGCUAGGUGUAGGGGGUAUCGACCCCUUCUGUGCCGCAGUCAACACAAUAAGCAUUCCGCCUGGGGAGUACGGCCGCAAGGUUGAAACUUAAAUGAAUUGACGGGG
rnacentral:rRNA from 1 species